rnacentral:rRNA from 1 species
GGUUAAGCGACUAAGCGUACACGGUGGAUGCCCUGGCAGUCAGAGGCGAUGAAGGACGUGCUAAUCUGCGAUAAGCGUCGGUAAGGUGAUAUGAACCGUUAUAACCGGCGAUUUCCGAAUGGGGAAACCCAGUGUGAUUCGUCACACUAUCAUUAACUGAAUCCAUAGGUUAAUGAGGCGAACCGGGGGAACUGAAACAUCUAAGUACCCCGAGGAAAAGAAAUCAACCGAGAUUCCCCCAGUAGCGGCGAGCGAACGGGGAGGAGCCCAGAGCCUGAAUCAGUGUGUGUGUUAGUGGAAGCGUCUGGAAAGGCGCGCGAUACAGGGUGACAGCCCCGUACACAAAAAUGCACAUGCUGUGAGCUCGAUGAGUAGGGCGGGACACGUGGUAUCCUGUCUGAAUAUGGGGGGACCAUCCUCCAAGGCUAAAUACUCCUGACUGACCGAUAGUGAACCAGUACCGUGAGGGAAAGGCGAAAAGAACCCCGGCGAGGGGAGUGAAAAAGAACCUGAAACCGUGUACGUACAAGCAGUGGGAGCCUCUUUAUGGGGUGACUGCGUACCUUUUGUAUAAUGGGUCAGCGACUUAUAUUCUGUAGCAAGGUUAACCGAAUAGGGGAGCCGAAGGGAAACCGAGUCUUAACUGGGCGUUAAGUUGCAGGGUAUAGACCCGAAACCCGGUGAUCUAGCCAUGGGCAGGUUGAAGGUUGGGUAACACUAACUGGAGGACCGAACCGACUAAUGUUGAAAAAUUAGCGGAUGACUUGUGGCUGGGGGUGAAAGGCCAAUCAAACCGGGAGAUAGCUGGUUCUCCCCGAAAGCUAUUUAGGUAGCGCCUCGUGAAUUCAUCUCCGGGGGUAGAGCACUGUUUCGGCAAGGGGGUCAUCCCGACUUACCAACCCGAUGCAAACUGCGAAUACCGGAGAAUGUUAUCACGGGAGACACACGGCGGGUGCUAACGUCCGUCGUGAAGAGGGAAACAACCCAGACCGCCAGCUAAGGUCCCAAAGUCAUGGUUAAGUGGGAAACGAUGUGGGAAGGCCCAGACAGCCAGGAUGUUGGCUUAGAAGCAGCCAUCAUUUAAAGAAAGCGUAAUAGCUCACUGGUCGAGUCGGCCUGCGCGGAAGAUGUAACGGGGCUAAACCAUGCACCGAAGCUGCGGCAGCGACGCUUAUGCGUUGUUGGGUAGGGGAGCGUUCUGUAAGCCUGUGAAGGUGUGCUGUGAGGCAUGCUGGAGGUAUCAGAAGUGCGAAUGCUGACAUAAGUAACGAUAAAGCGGGUGAAAAGCCCGCUCGCCGGAAGACCAAGGGUUCCUGUCCAACGUUAAUCGGGGCAGGGUGAGUCGACCCCUAAGGCGAGGCCGAAAGGCGUAGUCGAUGGGAAACAGGUUAAUAUUCCUGUACUUGGUGUUACUGCGAAGGGGGGACGGAGAAGGCUAUGUUGGCCGGGCGACGGUUGUCCCGGUUUAAGCGUGUAGGCUGGUUUUCCAGGCAAAUCCGGAAAAUCAAGGCUGAGGCGUGAUGACGAGGCACUACGGUGCUGAAGCAACAAAUGCCCUGCUUCCAGGAAAAGCCUCUAAGCAUCAGGUAACAUCAAAUCGUACCCCAAACCGACACAGGUGGUCAGGUAGAGAAUACCAAGGCGCUUGAGAGAACUCGGGUGAAGGAACUAGGCAAAAUGGUGCCGUAACUUCGGGAGAAGGCACGCUGAUAUGUAGGUGAAGCGACUUGCUCGUGGAGC